AGAGCGAACGCUGGCGGCAGGCCUAACACAUGCAAGUCGAGCGCCCGUAGCAAUACGGGAGCGGCAGACGGGAUAGUAACACGUGGGAACGCGCCCUUCGGUUCGGAAUAACUCAGGGAAACUUGAGCUAAUACCGGAUACGCCCUUACGGGGAAAGAUUUAUUGCCGAAGGAACGGCCCGCGUCCGAUUAGCUAGUUGGUGAGGUAAUGGCUCACCAAGGCGACGAUCGGUAGCUGGUCUGAGAGGAUGACCAGCAUCACUGGGACUGAGACACGGCCCAGACUCCUACGGGAGGCAGCAGUUAGGAAUUUCCGCAAUGGGCGAAAGCCUGACGGAGCAACGCCGCGUGAGUGAUGAAGACCUUCGGGUUGUAAAGCUCUGUCGGAGGGGAAGAACACAAUGACGGUACCCUCAAGAAAGCCCCGGCUAACUACGUGCCAGCAGCCGC
rnacentral:rRNA from 1 species